GGAAGAGGCCGACGCCGAACAGCGGCGCCGAAUGGCUCGGCAAGCCCACGCACAGAGCCACCACCCCCCCGGCGAUCAUGAGGAGCACGCCCAGGAAGAGCAGCACUCCCUGGGGCAGCGGCAUCUCCGGAGUCCCCCCUAUCAACACCUCCCGCAGAUAAAUCAUAAAGCGUUGCCUUGAGGAGGAAGGUUGUCAUCAUGCAUCCUUUAGGUAAGUCAAGUCGAUCUGGAAAUUCUCAGCAUCAUUUUGUAGUCGUUAAAGUCCCUCUUCGGACACUAAAUGAUCAAAAUACAAAGUUGGUUUGUUAAUCUUAAGUUUAUUCCAUCAACAUCAAUACAUACACACACACACAGAGGGCGACAUGUGUCUCAUGAUUCUUCGUCUUUCCCACUAGCGAUGCAUCUUAACAUCUUAAAACAUGCAUAAUAUGUCCAAAGCAACUUAGUGGAUCACCUGCGAUCCUUUAAUCAUAACUCUUUGGGUGCCAUUUUUUUAACUGACUGUAUAAAUGCCCACUUUUUUCCACCACAGAAACCUCCAUUGAACAAAAUCAAUGUUGUUGUUAUAUAAGUAGUUCAUAUGUAUUAAUAAAUAAUCAUAUGUGCAUACCUGUAAACAUUACAAAACUAUGAAAAUAAAUUUAAAAAAUAAAAUAAAUAAAUCUAACCUCGACAGCAACUUCAGUCAGUAUAAAACAGAUGUUUUACAAUAUUGGGAAUUUUUAGCCUAUUGUUAAAUACAAAAAUACAUUAAUACAUAAAUAAUAGAGACUUGGAGAUUUUUAUUCAAACAAGAAUAUUUCUAAUAAUCCAAUAUAUUAAUAUUCAUUCAUUUUCUAUACCACUUAUCCUCACGAGGGUCGCGGGAGUGCUGGAGCCUAUCCCAGCUGUCUUCCGAUGAAAGGCGGGGUACACCCUCGACUGGUUGCUAGACAAACAACCAUUCACAUUCAUACGUAUGGACAAUUUGGAGUCGCCAAUUAACCUAACAUGUUUUUGGCAGACACUCGGCCUCAAUCAAACCAAAGAAAUGCAAAAAAAAUAAAAAAUACACAGGUAAGAGACGAGGGAGCAACCCAAUCCCUAGAGAUAUCAGUGUGGAUGAUAAGGUAGCAGCACGUUUAUCAGUAGAUGUGCUUUCCCUUUUCUGAACACUUACUAGCAGCCUUCUCCUACUUGGAAUUGUGAGCUAAAGGGUUAACCUAAUUGGGAUGUGGGCUGUAAGUCCUGAAUAACCUCUGUAGAGAUGAACUCUGGUGACCCCAAAACACACAAAGUGUCUUAGUGCUCUUUGGUCAACACAGUUGAUGAUCAGAUUCCAGCAAAGUUAUAGGAAACAUGCCAACAUCAGAGAGAGACAUGCUUCUGGUGUCCCAUUGGUGUUCCCCAUCUUUGGUCUUCCCACCAUCACACCUCGAAGCUUAUCUCUCUGGACCGUCCAAAUAGCGGCUCGGCCGCUAAGUGCGUGUCGGAGUAGGCGCGUCUCAGGUGUGUGGAGCUGCAUGUGGUUUUGAUGGCCACUUCGUAGGGAGGUGGCGGCCCCAGCCAGGGAGGAAGGUGAGGGGGCGGACUGAAGCCACCUGAGUCCAUGGGGGGAUAGUCAAACUCCUCACCACGAGCUCCAUGUCUUUGGCAUUCCAAAGUUCUACAAGGGGAGAGAUCAAAAUCUAAUCAGGUGGGCUAAUAUACAAAAGUACUUGUUGAUGAUGUUCUAACAGUUAGCGCCAAACGUGUGAAAAGCUAUCAUUUCCCACACUUGAAGAGGCGCUCAAACACUCACUUAGAAAGCUGCAGUUUUUCAUGACGUCAUGAAGGACAAACCUGCUCCUUUAUGGACACCAUAGCAACUCUGACACGCCCCCCGGUUAGAUAAGGCCGACCCAUAUAUUAUGCCCACUGUCACCUCUUCAUGGAGGACAGCUUUGCAAUAACAAAAAUAGGCUUCUCUACACAGCUUAAAACAAAGCCCUGCCAACUAUUAGCCAGAUGUAUGAGCUGUAAGUUUGAUCAUGUUGUUUUUCUUCAGCAAAUAGGCUAGCAUAAUGUUGCUGUUACGAUAUGACUGAAAACAAACAGCUCAUUAGCAUUUAAGCGAUAGACACAAAACUAACGCUUACUAGAAGCACUAUAAUAUAGGGCUGCAAUUAACAAUUAGUUUAAUAACCAGCUAAUCGUUCAUUUAUGUUAAGUAAUAAAAAAAAAAAUCUAAAUGUAAAACAAUAAAUGUACUCAAAAAUACAAACACAAUCAUUUUCUUAGUCGAUUAAUCUGAAGCCUGAUGUUUCAAUUAAUGGUGGAAUUGGUUAGACCAUAGAUGGACCAGAUUAAUAUGAAGCAAACACCUACAGUUAGCGUUUGGGUCCACAACAUAUCAUAAAAGAGGCAAAAUACCCAUCACUGUUUUAUACGUGAAUAUCUUUGGCUAAAACAGGAAGAUAGUAGAUCUGCUUUCAUGAAUGACUUAGGAAAUGUAAAAACUAUUCACAUUUGAGAGGCUGAAAUCAGAGGAUAUUUACAUAUUUAAAUUAAAUAAUCAUUCAUUCAUUAAUUUUCCACCACUUUUUCCUCACAAGGGUCGCGGGGUGAGAGGCUGUCUUUCUCUUGCUGUCUUUGGGCGAGAGGCGGGGUACACCCUGGACUGGUCGCCAGCCAAUCACAGGGCACAUAUAGACAAACAACCAUUCACACUCAUUUGGAGUCGCCAAUUAACCUAGCAUGUUUUUGGAAUGUAGGAGGAAACCGGAGUACCUGGAGAAAACCCACGCAUGCACGGGGAGAACAUGCAAACUCCACACAGAGAUGGCUGAAGGUGGAAUUGAAUCCUGGUCUCCUAGCUGUGAGGUCUGUGCGCUAACCACUAGACCGCCGUGCAGCCCCCUAAAUAAUCAUUAAUUACCAAAAUUAUUGUUGAUUAAUUAGGUACCACAUUAAGCAUGGAUUAAUCGAUUAAUUGUUGCAGCUCUAAUAUAGACUUUUAUUCCUGAGUUGUAUCCCUUCACCCGCAUAUGCUAUCACACUAGGUCACACAGUGGUGGGCAAAGUACGGCCUGCAUAUCACAUUUAGUGCAGCCCUUUUGACAUUCGUAUUUGCGUCACUGCUGCUCUUGUUCUGCAGUUUUUUCCACCAGCUGACUCACUACUUUGAUUUUGAUUACUUUUGAUUAUUACUUUUACUUUUACACACAAUUUCCUCGACAAUGACCUAGUCUGCCUUUCUUCUUAAAUCAGCUGAGAUGGGCUCCGGGACCAAUGCCAUGACCUUGAACAGGAAGAGAUAGGAUACACAAGUGCCACACUAAGGAGUAACUCUAUCAGUCCAUUUUUAACGAUUUUGAAUUGUUAUGAAUAAAGACAACUUUAAAAACAAUAUUGAUUAGUUAUUGACGAUGCAUGGAAAUUAACAAUGAAUGCAUCCAUUUGGGGGGGGUGUUGUUUUUAGUGUCCUGUACACCUCUUUCCUUGCCAGGACGAGCAAAGUUCUUUGAUAAUGUUCUUCAACGUCCAACAGCUGACGUCAUGAUAUUCUUCUCUAGUUGCCAGUGAAUCAAGAGCGCCUCUGCUGUUUUCAGUAGGUACUGCACCACCAUUUGGCCUCAACUGCUUCAAGACAGUUACAGUAGAAGCUUCAGAUCCAGAUGACAUAGACUACUUUCCACUUUCUUCCUUUUUAGUCUUGAUGUAAAAAUGACUUAAAACUUACAAAUGAACAUGGCUGUGAUCUUUAAUUCAUUCUGUCAAUAAAGAGCAUGUAAACUCACCCUGGUAGAAAGACCGACUGGGACUCAGGGAAGCGACUACCGCCGUGCGCAAAGAGGGCAUGGCUGCUGUAACCAGCGUACUCGUUGUAAGGGUAGUGAGGACACUCAGGAUCAAACUCCUGUUGGUUGUAGUUUCCUGUGCUCUUGCUGUUCAUGGCCCAGAAGAGCCCCAGGAUGAGCAUGACCACCCCCAGCACCACGCAACACAGCGAGAAGGGCUGCAGGCGGCUCUGGGAUGAGGCCAGGAAGGCUGUGGAGCCCCCUGUCACGAUGAGGAAGGCGCCGAUGAAGAUGGCUCCGUGGUGCAGGGAAGGCAUCCUCCCGGUUUCGAGGUUGCCUCCGAGGCCUGGGAGAUGGUGUCACUUGGGUCCGGACGGGAUGGAGCACCCCAUGUGCAUGCAAGGUGCCCAGCUCCUGUUAAGACGCUAAAAGGACUUUUUUUGAGCUAAAAGAAUCAAAAAGGACUUGUUUGAAGAGGAUGUCAUCUGCUGAUGUGGACAAGCUGUGUGUUUAUCAUCACAGCAGAUGGACCAGAAGACUGAAGAGCCCAUUAAGAAAUCUUUACUGGCGCCCCACCCUCCUCAGUCUAAUGUGUCUGAAGGGUACCACUUUAGUGUGUGUGUGUGUGUGUGUGUGUGUGCACUGGAAAAUGAUGACAUGAAAACAUGACUGGGUUGAUGCGUGCGCGUGACAUCAGUUACAGAAAUAAGAGCAUGUCUAACCAUUCUAACAACAUGAUAAUGCUGGUCAUCAAAUGGCAUACAUUAUAUACAUUGUAGGCCAUACAGUACAAUAAACCAACAGGUUUUAAUAGGAAAUGUAGCCACUAGUCUUGAAUAUUUGCUGUCAAUAAAGUCAUUGUCAAAUUGGCCUGUUGUGACCGAAAUAAUGCAUUUUUUUUUACUUCCAAUUAUGCCUGUAGAA